rnacentral:rRNA from 1 species
GACGAACGCUGGCGGCGUGCUUAACACAUGCCAGUCGAACGGAAAGGCCCUGCUUUUGUGGGGUGCUCGAGUGGCGAACGGGUGAGUAACACGUGAGUAACCUGCCCUUGACUUUGGGAUAACUUCAGGCAACUUGGGCUAAUACCGGAUAGGAGCUCCUGCUGCAUGGUGGGGGUGGGAAAGUUUCGGCGGUUGGGGAUGGACUCGCGGCUUAUCAGCUUGUUGGUGGGGUAGUGGAUUACCAUGGCCUGGACGGGUAGCCGGCCUGCGAGGGUGACCGGACACAUUGGGACUGAGAUACGGCCCAGACUCCUACGGGAGGCAGCAGUGGGGAAUAUUGCACAAUGGGCGGAAGCCUGGUGCAGCAACGCCGCGUGGGGGAUGACGGCCUUCGGGUUGUAAACCGCUGUCGCCUGUGACGAAGCGUGAGUGACGGUAAUGGGUAAAGAAGCACCGGCUAACUACGUG